rnacentral:rRNA from 1 species
UCCGGUUGAUCCUGCCGGACCUGACUGCUAUCGGAUUGGUACUAAGCCAUGCGAGUCAUUGUAGCAAUACAAGGCGGACGGCUCAGUAACACGUAGUCAACCUAACUCGUGGACGUGGAUAACCUCGGGAAACUGAGAAUAAACCACGAUAGAUCAUAGUGCCUGGAAUGGCUUAUGGUCCAAACAGUUUACUGCCAUGGGAUGGGACUGCGGCCUAUCAGCUUGUUGGCGAGGUAAUGGCCCACCAAGGCGAUUACAGGUACGGGCUCUGAGAGGAGAAGCCCGGAGAUGGGUACUGAGACACGGACCCAGGCCCUAUGGGGCGCAGCAGGCGAGAAACCUUAGCAAUGUGCGAAAGCACGACUGGGUCAGUCCGAGUGAUUCCUGAUAAAGGAGUCUUUUGCUUGUCCUAAAAGCACAGGUGAAUAAGGGGUGGGCAAGUCUGGUGUCAGCCGCCGCGGUAAUACCAGCACCUCGAGUGGUCAGGACGUUUAUUGGGCCUAAAGCAUCCGUAGCCGGCUUUGCAAGUCUUCGGUUAAAUCCACCUGCUCAACAGAUGGGCCGCUGGAGAUACUACAGAGCUAGGGAGUGGGAGAGGCAGACGGUAUUCAGUGGGUAGGGGUAAAAUCCUCUGAUCCAUUGAGGACCACCAGUGGCGAAGGCGGUCUGCCAGAACACGUUCGACGGUGAGGGAUGAAAGCUGGGGGAGCAAACCGGAUUAGAUACCCGGGUAGUCCCAGCUGUAAACGAUGCAAACUCGGUGAUGCAUUGGCUUAUGGCCAAUGCAGUGCCGCAGGGAAGCCGUUAAGUUUGCCGCCUGGGAAGUACGGACGCAAGUCUGAAACUUAAAGGAAUUGGCGGGGGAGCACCACAAGGGGUGAAGCCUGCGGUUCAAUUGGAGUCAACGCCAGGAAUCUUACCCGGGGAGACAGCAGAAUGAAGGUCAAGCUGAAGACUUUACCAGACAAGCUGAGAGGAGGUGCAUGGCC